rnacentral:rRNA from 1 species
GUUAGUUUUACCCUACUGAUGAAUUUGAUACUGCGACAGUAAUCGAAGUCAGUACGAGAGGAACACUUCGUUCAGAUAUUUGGUAAAUGCGGCUAGCUGAAAAGCUAAUACCGCGAAGCUACCAUCUGUUGGAUUACGACUGAACGCCUCUAAGUCGGAAUCCAUGCUGGCUAAGCAGUGUUGUCCACCACUUCCAUGGUUACAUGACAAGCAUUAGGUCUCGGCCCUGUUGCAUAUGAGCCAUAUCUACCGUUAAAGGUUGUGUGGUAAAUCUCAAUUUCAAUCUGUGGAAAUGAUAAACCUUUUGCAGACGACUUAACUGAAUCCAGGUAUUGUAAGU